rnacentral:lncRNA from 1 species
UGGCUGCGUUAAUUUUUUUCCAUUUAAUACUUUAAACUCAAUUAUUUCGUCGUAAAUUAAUUUUUUAUUUUUUAUUUUUUAUACCAAAAUUCAUAAUUUUUUUUUCUCUACAAAUAGAGACUUGGUUCGUUUGAUUUGGACACAGAAAAAAAAACCCAAUUUUUUACUACCUAAAUCUCAUUUUUCACUACCUUACAUCAACUCACUUAAACCAUUCUACUAGGAAAAUGGUUUCAGAGUACAAAUCUCUGAAACCAUUCUACAAGCUAAAUGGUUUCAGAAGCAAAUAACUAAUAAUCAACUUACUGAAACCAUUCUACCAGCAAAAUGGUUUCAGAUUACAACUCUCUGAAACCAUUGUACCAGAUAAAUGGUUUCAGAAGCAAACACAAUUAAUAUAUUACUCACUGAAACCAUUCUACCAGUAAAAUGGUUUCAGAAUACAACUAUGUGCAACCAUUCUACAAGCUAAAUGGUUUCAGAAGCAAAUAACUAAUAAUCAACUUACUGAAACCAUUCUACCAGCAAANN